GAUGAACGCUGGCGGCGUGCCUAACACAUGCAAGUCGAACGGAGUCGUUUUGGAAAUCUCUUCGGAGAUGGAAUUCUCGACUUAGUGGCGGACGGGUGAGUAACGCGUGAGCAAUCUGCCUUUAAGAGGGGGAUAACAGUCGGAAACGGCUGCUAAUACCGCAUAAAGCAUUAAAUACGCAUGUUUUUGAUGCCAAAGGAGCAAUCCGCUUUUAGAUGAGCUCGCGUCUGAUUAGCUAGUUGGCGGGGUAACGGCCCACCAAGGCGACGAUCAGUAGCCGGACUGAGAGGUUGAACGGCCACAUUGGGACUGAGACACGGCCCAGACUCCUACGGGAGGCAGCAGUGGGGAAUAUUGCGCAAUGGGGGAAACCCUGACGCAGCAACGCCGCGUGAUGGAAGAAGGCCUUCGGGUUGUAAAGAUCUUUAAUCAGGGACGAAACAAAUGACGGUACCUGAAGAAUAAGCUCCGGCUAACUACGUG
rnacentral:rRNA from 1 species